CCUGCCCAAGAGAUCGGGAUAACACCUGGAAACAGAUGCUAAUACCGGAUAACAACAGAUGAUGCCUAUCAACUGUUUAAAAGAUGGUUCUGCUAUCACUCUUGGAUGGACCUGCGGUGCAUUAGCUAGUUGGUAGGGUAACGGCCUGCCAAGGCGAUGAUGCAUAGCCAAGUUGAGAGACUGAUCGGCCACACUGGGACUGAGACACGGCCCAAACUCCUACGGGAGGCAGCAGUC
rnacentral:rRNA from 1 species